UCUGAAGUAUGGGCUGGCGCCAAAAUCUUGGACAGACUACCUGCAUUUGACUGUUGGAGGUACUUUGUCCAAUGCCGGGAUCAGCGGGCAGGCUUUUCGACAUGGACCUCAAAUAAGUAAUGUUCAUCACCUGGAAGUCAUUACAGGUAAAUCAAGAAGUGGAACUGCAAACUAAUAAGGCACAAAACUGAAAACCACCAUGCAAUAGUAAUUACUUAUGUCACGGUCAUAUUGAACAUUGCAGUAGAACCGUGUUCUAGUAGCGGUUCCUCCGCAUACUGGUGCUUACUGAUUUCCAAUGUGUAUAAAAGUUCAAAUAUAUAUUGCAUGUGUAACAUAUGAAAUGUAUAUUGCAUGUAACAUGUUUACAACAUAUAAUCUUAACUGAAAUUGACCUACCUCUAUGCAGGAAAAGGGGAGGUACUUAAUUGCUCAGAGAAACAGAAUGAAGAUCUCUUUCACAGCGUUCUUGGAGGACUUGGUCAGUUUGGCAUCAUAACACGUGCAAGAAUAUCACUGGAACCAGCACCAG
rnacentral:lncRNA from 1 species